UUACUGAGUUUACGCUCUACAACCCUUUGUGAACAUACCUAUAACUGUUGCUUCGGCGGGUAGGGUCUCCGUGACCCUCCCGGCCUCCCGCCCCCGGGCGGGUCGGCGCCCGCCGGAGGAUAACCAAACUCUGAUUUAACGACGUUUCUUCUGAGUGGUACAAGCAAAUAAUCAAAACUUUUAACAACGGAUCUCUUGGUUCUGGCAUCGAUGAAGAACGCAGCGAAAUGCGAUAAGUAAUGUGAAUUGCAGAAUUCAGUGAAUCAUCGAAUCUUUGAACGCACAUUGCGCCCGCCAGCAUUCUGGCGGGCAUGCCUGUUCGAGCGUCAUUUCAACCCUCAAGCUCUGCUUGGUGUUGGGGCCCUACGGCUGACGUAGGCCCUCAAAGGUAGUGGCGGACCCUCCCGGAGCCUCCUUUGCGUAGUAACUUUACGUCUCGCACUGGGAUCCGGAGGGACUCUUGCCGUAAAACCCCCAAUUUUCCAAAGGUUGACCUCGGAUCAGGUAGGAAUACCCGCUGAACUUAAGCAUAUCAAUAAGCGGAGGAAAAGAAACCAACAGGGAUUGCCUCAGUAACGGCGAGUGAAGCGGCAACAGCUCA
rnacentral:rRNA from 1 species